GUCUACGGCCAUACCACCCUGAACAUGCCCAAUCUCAUCUGAUCUUGGAAGCUAAGCCCGAUUGGGCCUGGUUAGUACUUGGAUGAGAGAAAUGAAAAGGAAAAACCACAACCACAGCUA
rnacentral:rRNA from 1 species